rnacentral:rRNA from 1 species
CUGCAGCUCAAGUGGUGAUCGCUAUUAUUGGGCCUAAAACGUUCGUAGCCGGUUUGGUAAAUGCCUGGGUAAAUCGUGUAGCUUAACUAUACGAAUUCCGGGUAGACUGCUAAACUUGAGACCGGGAGAAGCUAGAGGUACUCCUGGGGUAGAGGUGAAAUUCUGUAAUCCUGGGGGGACCACCAGUGGCGAAGGCGUCUAGCUAGAACGGGUCUGACGGUGAGGAACGAAGCCCUGGGGCGCAAACCGGAUUAGAUACCCGAGUAGUCC